GCCAGUUUGGCUCAGUGGAUAGAGCCUUGGCCUGUGGACCCAAGGGUCCCGGGUUUGAUUCCUGUCAGGGGCA
rnacentral:tRNA from 1 species